AACAAAUUUUGUUUAGUUUCCGGCUUCUGUUUGUUUUCUGAAAUUUUACGGAUCAAAAAUGUGUAGCCCUUGUGGAUCGUGCUGCAGUCCCUGCUGCGGUCCGUGCUGCGGUCCUUGCUGCGGUCCGUGCUGCGGUCCUUGCUGCGGUCCGUGCAGCGGUCCUUGCUGUGGACCCUGCUGUGGACCCUGCUGUGAUCCGUGCUGUGGACCCUGCUAUGGACCCAAUGUCUGCGGACCGUGCGGUGCAACGGGACCCUGUACAGGCUGUUGUGGAGGCUGUUGCUGAGCAAUAGGAAUUGCAAACGACAGGGUCUAAACCUCCAUCACAAGUCCGACGAAACCUACAGAAAGCUUGAAGCUAUCGUGUAGUCUCUACGAAUAAAGCAUUUACUAAAACAAAAAUUUCACUAAUCACUAAUCGGCUUCGUUAUAUAGUAAACUAUCAAUCUUGCCGGAGCUAUAGCUAUAUGCCACAGGGAACAGUCGGGAGCAGUCUCCCUAUUAGGAGGAGGACGCAAAAAAGCGGAGCUCUAAAAAUCGAAUACAAAAUACAGGCAAAACUUGGCGAG